rnacentral:rRNA from 1 species
UACGGAGGGGGCGAGCGUUAUUCGGAAUUAUUGGGCGUAAAGGGCGCGUAGGCGGCUUGGCAAGUCAAAGGUGAAAUCCCUCGGCUCAACUGAGGAACUGCCUUUGAAACUGCCUGGCUUGAGGCCGGGAGGGGGUAGCGGAAUUCCCAGUGUAGCGGUGAAAUGCGUAGAUAUUGGGAGGAACACCAGUGGCGAAGGCGGCUACCUGGACCGGUUCUGACGCUGAUGCGCGAAGGCGUGGGUAGCAAACAGG